rnacentral:tRNA from 1 species
GGGAGUAGAUGAGUGCUGGUGUGCUCCCCGGUCUUCAACACCGCGUGUUGGGCGUUAGUAGCGUCCUAGGUGGGUUCGAUUCCCACAUAUUCCCGCCA